rnacentral:rRNA from 1 species
CACGCCGUAAACGAUGUCUACUAGUCGUUGGGUCCCUUGAGGACUUAGUGACGCAGCUAACGCAAUAAGUAGACCGCCUGGGGAGUACGGCCGCAAGGUUAAAACUCAAAUGAAUUGACGGGGGCCCGCACAAGCGGUGGAGCAUGUGGUUUAAUUCGAUGCAACGCGAAGAACCUUACCUGGUCUUGACAUAUCUAGAAUCCUGCAGAGAUGCGGGAGUGCCUUCGGGAAUUAGAAUACAGGUGCUGCAUGGCUGUCGUCAGCUCGUGUCGUGAGAUGUUGGGUUAAGUCCCGCAACGAGCGCAACCCUUUUCCUUAGUUACCAGCGGGUUAUGCCGGGAACUCUAAGGAUACUGCCAGUGACAAACUGGAGGAAGGCGGGGACGACGUCAAGUCAUCAUGGCCCUUACGACCAGGGCUACACACGUGCUACAAUGGUAGGUACAGAGGGCAGCUACACAGCGAUGUGAUGCGAAUCUCAAAAAGCCUAUCGUAGUCCAGAUUGGAGUCUGCAACUCGACUCCA